UACUAGAGUAGCACUCGCAUAUCAAUAAGCGGAGGAAAAGAAACUAACAAGGAUUCCCCUAGUAACGGCGAGUGAAGCGGGAAGAGCUCAAAUUUGAAAUCUUAAAGGGUUUCCCUUUACGAAUUGUAGUUUAAAGAAGUGUUUUCUGUUGAGGUUUUGGUAAAAGUUCUUUGGAAUAGGACAUCAUAGAGGGUGAGAAUCCCGUAUUUGACCUUUACUUUCAACUUUGUGAUACACUUUCAAAGAGUCGGAUUGUUUGGGAAUGCAGUCCAAAAUGGGUGGUAAAUUUCAUCUAAAGCUAAAUAUUGGCGAGAGACCGAUAGCGAACAAGUACCGUGAGGGAAAGAUGAAAAGAACUUUGAAAAGAGAGUUAAACAGUACGUGAAAUUGUCAAAAGGGAAGCGUUUGACACCAGUGUUGUUUUUCUGAAAAUCAAUUAAAGAACUGUUUAUGCUAAGCUGUUUCAGACUUUAUCAGCUAUCUGUUUAGUUUUAGGCUUUUCUUUAAUGCACUUUUCAGUUAACAAGUCAACAUCAAUUUCUUUUGCUGUAAAAAAGCUUGAGGAAGGUGGCUUGAGAUUCGUCUUAAGUGUUUAUAGCCUCUUGCCUAUGCAGUCGGAGAGAUUGAGGUCUGCAGCGUAGAUCCUUCGGGGCUAAAUGCAUUUGUGCUAAGUCAUAGCAUUUUAUAGACAACUUGUUGACUAUGAUUUGUCUUGUAGCUUACUCGCUUAUGUUAUUUUACCUACGCUUAGGAUGUUGAGCGCAUGUCUCUCUCU
rnacentral:rRNA from 1 species